rnacentral:lncRNA from 1 species
CACCAGCCGAAGGUGGGGCUACAGUAAGGGGUAGGAAAGGGGAAGAAGAUAUGAUCCAGUUGUCUCCUAUGAAAAGACCAAUUCUGCCAGCAAAACGUAGGAUUACCAGACAAUGAACUAGCACUUUACAAAGUGUAAAGGCAUUUUGGAGACACAGGCUGGGAAGAGUCUGGACAAGGCAAGGAGAGACUUGAGCCCAGGAGUGGAUCAAGAGGAAGAUGUGGAUGGUGCUUCUGCAAGGCACGGCCUAUGUUAUUCACUAGAAGGUGAGCUCAAUUCUAGAAGAUGUUUCUUCAGUGUGCCCAGCUCCUGGAAAAGUGGACUCAAGAGAGGUUCUGGUGACAAAAAACCUCCACAAGAAACUACAGUUUCAAUCCACAGUGGGUUGCGCCUGCAAAGAAAUUUUUACAACACCAACCAUUCCUAAGGACCAUCUAUUCCUUCCUUAAUUAAAAGUAUAUAGUUAAAAAUACUUAGAGAAACAGCUUAGAAUAGUCUUUAGAGUCAGACAGACUGAAAAUGUCUGUAUUCAUGUGAACCUGGAAGUGUCAUUGGCCCUCUCUGA